UGAUUUUAACUCAGCCAGUGCUCUCUGGGCGCAUUCCUGCAAGGGAGGUCAUGGCCGCCCCAGCCUCCAGGGAUCCUCGUCCCUACAGCAGAAACUUGUGAACUUCUUUCAUAGGAAAGCAGUCCGUGGUUUUCCAGGAUCCUGUCCUCCUCGCCACUCCCUGGCGGCAAUAGUAACUACAUCCUUCUCUUCAUUUGCCAGUUUCCCAGGUUAUACCAGCUACUUCGGGGUCGUCCCUCAAGGCACUUCAGCUGUGCUGUUCAGCCUCUACAGACCAGGCCCAGUGGAUGACACUUGGUCCUUGCCAGUGGGCCCAACGUCUGCCGAAAGCCAAUUAAAGACGUUUUGGAAAACGCUGUAGAAGCAAAACAGCCUUCUAAGACUCUGAUGCUUAUGGCCUGUUGCUUGAGAUUCCAAGUAGCUGGGGCCAGGAUUUUCCAGACACUUCCCGGGUCAUCCCUGUGUUCCAGUCAUGCUGACAGGUGACCCACUGUCUUCACACUCCAUGCCCCUCUUCCCUGGGGUGGGUGGGUUGGCACUGGGAGCUGUUUCUGUGAUGCAGCAUCUGUUGAGGCUCAGGGGUUAGUGUCUGACGUCGGGAAUGUUCUGUGCCUCUGCAGUGCUGGUCCGGGGGCCCCACUGUGAGCCGUGUUCUUGUGAACUUGGACCUUGAUGGGGUGCAGUUCAUUGGAAGUUUUAUAAUAACUUUUCAAGAGGACUUGAAGUUCCAGAACAAUAUCCGGCCUGCUCCCAGUGAUCGCACGAUGACAGAUGUGUUGUUCAAAUGAGAUAGUUUGAACCCCAUACUAUCAUACUUGUUUCCUCAGACUUCUUUUGUCAGAUUUGAGAAUUGUUUCUUUCUGGUAUCAGUGCCCAUGGUACUACACAGUUUUCCACAUCUAUCCCCCAAACCUGCUACAUAGACCUGGUUUGCGCAGGGCUUUUCUUGAAACACUGCUCUCCAUGAAAAUCACACAGCUGGAAUCAGCCAGCCCCUGGGGGCAGGCCUCUGCUUCCACCCGGGGGCCACUGAGGCUGUGCUGGGGCAUCCUCCAGGACUGGCAUGACGUGGCUGCAGGUGCAACCGCCUGGGUGACUGGUUUGGACACAUGCCUCUAUAGUACGAUGCUUCAGAUUGAAACGGAAGAUCCUGUUGGCAGGUUGCUAUUGGCAGUUGCCAGGGGCCGGGAGUAGGAGAGGGUGCUUCCCACCUGCCCUGUCUCGUAGCAGACCAGCCAUUUGUGAUGGAAGAGUCACCUUGGGCCGGCCCCGAAUGAUUGCUGAGGCUGCAUUCCUCAGAUGCAGGUUCUGGGUUGUCCCAUGCACACCCCAGGCUUACCCCGUGCCAGAUACGCAUGGAACAUCUCACGUGCACCUCACAUGCACGCCAUGAUGUAGCAUGUCUGGAGGGGCAUCAAAAUGCAUUUAAAAUUCCUUUCCCUAAGCCAGAAACAGACAAGAACAUUGCAGUAGUGUUCGUCACAAGGUCAUAGGACGUGGUGGCCCUUAUUCCAGAUGCUUGUGAACUGAGGCCCAGGAAUCUAUGUGGGGACUUGCCCAAGUUCACUCUUCACUGGGAGGACACAGAUGGAAACUCAGGUCCCAGCCUCCAAGGUCAGCAUGUUAACUCUGAAGUGAUUGACCUUCUGAGGCGAGAAGUGUCUACACAGCCUGUACGUGGUGACGCGCACAUGGGCACUGAUUCAUCCUAAAGCUGGUUAUGAAAAGGGCCCAGAGAACCCAGCUUUCCAGCUGGCUCUCACCACUCACCGGGACUCGGCUGGCUCAGCCCCUGUGCUUAUCUCGCUGGUAUGUGCUGGGCGCCAGGGGCUAGUUCUGGGGGCGUGGGGGUGCGUGCGGCUGCAGGAAUCCCGCUGCACAGAUCCACAGAGCUGCAGUCCCCAGCUUUUAUCUGUGCACCUGCGUGUUGUCCCCACAGGAAUUUUUAACAACACACGUGCACAUUAGCGUCUCAGGAAGGAGGGGAGCGCUGUGGCCUUGGGGGUGUUUCUGGGGCCUGCUCCCCUCCUUGCAGGGCUGACCUGGAGGCCCUGUGGGCCUGGCAGGGGUAGGUAGGGGGUGUCCGUGUUUCCUUUGGUCUCAUGGAGUGCUUAAACAGACCCCUGGUUUGGAGAAUCUUAGAGGAGAUGAACUUGGGAAGACGACAGAGGGAUUUUGUGUGAACCACGCUUAGAGAAACAUGCACAGACUGAGUGAUGCUGGCCUGGGGGACUGAGAACCUGUCAGGGUCCCUGCAGGCUGAGGGGCCAAAGCUUGCCCGUCGAUAGCUGGGAAUCUCUCCGGGAGCCAUCGUAAAAACCGUGAGACCGUUGUUGUGACUUCCUCCAGCUACCGCAAAGCAGAAGCCUCCAUAAUGACGAUUCAAGUUGAUGUGACUUGGACAGUAUUUCCCUUAGAAGUCAAGUUUACUAACAAGACAACAUUAAGGUUAAAGGAUUAGUCAGUGUUGUGGACCGCUUCUCAGGAAGACACCUUGUAUUUGUAUCACGUAAAUAAGCAGUUAUUGUGACGCUUGAGUCUCAGCCCACUUUGUCAAAUAGCGUAAGGAGUUUUGGAAACAAAAUUUCGGGCAGUUAUUUAUUAAAGGAAGUAAGAAAUUCUUAAUUUCCUGUUUGAAAAGUAACGACCAUUUGUUAUGCUGCGAUGUGUGCCUCCUAUUAUGUCGUGUGAACUAGAUGAAAGUGCUGGGUACUCCACGCCAAAAAGACUUACGCACUGCUGAUGCUGAUGUGUUUGCAAAGCAGUUUCCACGUCCAUUAACGCGCUGGUGUCUCGGCCCUCCUGGCAGUGAGCCUCCCAUUAACCUGCAUAUGCGUCAGAGGGCAGGAAGAAGGCAACUGCCCUGAAGGUGAGCCGCAGCAUCAGGGCCGGAAGCUGUCUAGGUCCCCCUGGCUUACCCUGUCCCUGCAGGGACUGCGCCAGCCUGGGAGGAGCUCAAAGAGUUAAAGUAGUUUGGACAUGAAGGCACGUACGAGGUGUCAGUUGCCAAAUUCUAGAACCUUCCCAGCUGCAUGUGGUCCUGUUCAUGAGCUACAAGAGGGCAACUGUGCUCAGUUCACACUGUGAGCCCAGGUGAUGUUUCUGUCUUAAUAACGUGCAUUUUAACCCA